CAAGAGAGCAACAAACUAACUUGCUAAAAGCAAAACUAACGCGGACAAAAGCCGCACUAAAACUAAUAGCCACAUCACUACAAUUAGCCAUAAGCCCAAACAAAGCCCAGAAACCCAACAUAACCAAAACCCUAAAUCAACCCAUGAGUCUAAACAAACCCUACCACCACCACCUGAAGAAGCGCCGUCACGGCCACACCCACCAUCACAUCUGUAACAGAUCUAGGGAAAAUUUGAUUUCCAGCGAUCUACCUGCGCAUAAGAGCGAACAAAUAAACGAAAACAAUAACUUUGGCAAAGAACAAUUAGGUGAUUUGCAGCAACCUUCGUCAAAGAUGAUGUAAAAUCAAAUUUAAAGAACAUGAGCGGGGUUAGGGAGUGGGUUUUGGGAGUAGGAUUUGAUUGAGAACAUAGACUAAAAGGAGUAAUGGAGAACUUCAAUCUAACCAUGGCUUAGAAGAAACCACCACAAGAGGCUUUUUAUUCAAACCGCCCCAGUGGACUUAUUCACUAACCUAAAAGGAAAAGACGAGAAGAGAAGAGGAGGAGGAGGGCAGUGACGCUUCUUUCUCAUCUCCCCUAUAUGGAAUUUUCCUUUAGGACUCACAGAGGGAGAGAGCGGCUAGGAUUUGAAAAAAAG
rnacentral:lncRNA from 1 species